GACGAACGCUGGCGGCGUGCUUAACACAUGCAAGUCGAACGGUAAGGCCCUUCGGGGUACACGAGUGGCGAACGGGUGAGUAACACGUGGGUGAUCUGCCCUGCACUUCGGGAUAAGACUGGGAAACUGGGUCUAAUACCGGAUAGGACCCUGGGAUGCAUGUCUCGGGGUGGAAAGCGUUUGCGGUGUGGGAUGGGCCCGCGGCCUCUCAGCUUGUUGGUGGGGCGAUGGCCUACCAAGGCGACGACGGGUAGCCGGCCUGAGAGGGUGACCGGCCGCACUGGGACUGAGAUACGGCCCAGACUCCUACGGGAGGCAGCAGUGGGGAAUAUUGCACAAUGGGCGCAAGCCUGAUGCAGCGACGCCGCGUGAGGGAUGACGGCCUUCGGGUUGUAAACCUCUUUCAGCACCGACGAAGCGCAAGUGACGGUAGGUGCAGAAGAAGGACCGGCCAACUACGUGCCAGCCGCCGCGGUAA
rnacentral:rRNA from 1 species